rnacentral:rRNA from 1 species
UGUAAGCUUUGGAAACUGUGUAACUAGAGUGCAGGAGAGGGCAGUGGAACUCCAUGUGUAGCGGUGGAAUGCGUAGAUAUAUGGAAGAACACCAGUGGCGAAGGCGGCUCUCUGGUCUGCAACUGACGCUGAGGCUCGAAAGCAUGGGUAGCGAA